rnacentral:rRNA from 1 species
GACGAACCGUCCAAACGUUAUUCGGAAUCACUGGGCUUACAGAGUUCGUAGGCGGUCUGGAAAGUUGGGUGUGAAAUCCCUCGGCUCAACCGAGGAACUGCGCUUGAAACUACCAGACUCGAGGGAGAUAGAGGAAAGCGGAACUGAUGGUGGAGCGGUGAAAUGCGUUGAUAUCAUCAGGAACACCGGUGGCGAAGGCGGCUUCUGGGUCUUACCUGGACGC